UUUUUCCGUAUGUUGUGUUCUUGGUGGUUUUCUCUCCUUUUUUCCUCUUUCUUCCUGUGUGUGUGGUCAUACGCACUCCGGGAUAUUUUGGGUCACUGAGAGGACUGCGACCCAGAAGUGUUCUCACACUGGAGGCUGCCGCACCUGUCGCUCGUUAGCCUUCACCAGCUGCAGCUGAUGGCCUCAUCAAGAGAGUCCUAUUUAAGAAUGUGGCGGAGCUCCAGUCAGUGCGGGAUUACACUAUAUCAAACCUGUAAAGUACCUCUUUGCUCAACUCCAUGGUCUGCUAUCGCUGACCGUGACAGAAUAAUUCCACCAUAAUGGGCCCAGGGGACUCAAAUGUCACCUCAGAGAAGAAGUUGCUCACCCAGCUCUGGAGUUACUGCCGGAGCGUAAUCCAGGCUGCAAAUCAGCAUCAGAGUCACAUACAGUUAGUGGUUUUUGAUACUUUCCUGUCAUCCAAUACCUUUUCUGUGAGCUUUUUGGACAUUAAAAAACUAAUUCAAAUUGUAACCGUGCUGAGGGCAAGCUCCAGCUUUGAGCCGUUUGGUUUGGGCAGUUCGGGCAAGGAGGAUGUGGCUGCCUCCCUGGGAGCCCUUGCUGCCUGGUUUUUUCUUCAUAGGCGUGACAGUUUCCCUACCGUCGCUCGCUGCUCACUUGUUGGACCCUCCACUGCAGGGAAGAAGGCUCCCUCGCCAUUGGCACCCUACCCCAUCUCCUCUCCCUCCUUGAACGUCAGUUGAGUCAGCAGACAAAGGACCGGCAGUGCUAGUCACCACAGUGAGUAGACCGGACUCUGUUGUUUUAAUAAAUCCUGUCACAAAGGAUAAAAAUACAGAUAAUCAGGAGGGGACAGUUUCCAUACAUGCGGCCCCACCUUCUCGGAGGAGACGGUGCCCACGCCAUCAUCAAACCAAAUCUCACCUCACUCCUGUGGCUUCAGAAGAAUCAGCUGAUUCUGGACCAGCAGUGCAAGGCGCCGCACUGCCGUAUCACCAUCAUCACCAUCGGCUCGACCGUCUGUAGCUGCAGCGCUGCCAGAGGGGCCCGCUCUGCCCGAGCAGGAGGUCAGCGCGCCGGAGGAGCCCGCUCAAUCGGAGCUAGAUGGCAGCGCCCUGAAACGGCCUGCACGUCCACGUCCAACGCGGCUUGCACAUCAUGAACAACCUACUGUGCUUUGCCAUUGCCUGUCGGAGUUGUUACGUGGUCAACCACCGGAAUUGCAACGUCACCACCGCCAGGUCCACGGCCGCCCACCUGAACAGUUUCACUGCUACUGGAUUCGUGGUCAGCCAUCAGAGCUACUUCGAGGCUGUCAUCAGACCCCUGGCCGCCCACCAGAACUGCUCCACCAGGCCCGUGGCAGGCCACCUGAACUGUUCUGCCACUGUUGCUGUCCAUCGGGUCGACCACCAGAAUUGUUUUGUCGCCACCGCCUGGACUGCAGUUGGCUGUUAUGUGGCCGUCGUGGGGAUUGCAAUUGGGCCUACGGACUGGUUGAAGUUUUGGACUGAUUGAGGUUGUUUAUGUUUAGUUUGGGGAGUGGUUAUUAUACAUGCCUUUUCCUUGCAGUGGAAAUGUUGACCAUUUCUAUAUUAGAUUGUUUCCUGGCAUUUUUAUUAUAACACAUCUAAAAUUACAAACUUUAAACAUGCAGCAUUUUGUCUUUGAGUGUUGAAAUCAUUUGUUGAAUUUAAUUAGAUUUACUUUGGCAAGAAUAUUACUUUUCAAUCUUCUAUUAAAGAAAUAGUUGCCUCUUUGUUUUCAUAAAUGGUUAUUACUGUUAGUGACUGUCUCUCAACCUAAGAGGGCAUGUUUUUCUGCAACUCCAAAAAACUGAAGGCAGCAACUGAAUGCUGGUGCUGUGAAGGCCUGGAAGAGCCAGCAUAGGGUGAUAUCCCUGUGUUCUGGACUUCACAUUGACAAUGACUCUAAACUGUUUUUCUAGUUAUAAAAACAGUCCUUAUACUUAGAAUCAUGCUAGUUUUUCCAGUUACCUUUGAAUCUCUGAAAAUGGGGGACUAUGUCUGUCAUUUCUAACCUGUUAAGUGAAUACUUAUGUUAAACUUCUAGAAUCAAAGCUAAGAGAGGCAAAUUACAAACAAUGUCUAAAAACUUGCAGACCUACAUAAGUGUACACACAUGGAAUCCUACUUUAAUGUCUUAAGGCUUCACUGAGAGACCCUGAGUCUGUGUGCCAGUGUGUUUAGUCACCACCUCCUAUACUUGUCCCUGUGACACCAUAAUUCACACAUUGUGUUAUGGCCUGCAGGUUUUGUUUGGAUUUCAUAAUUAAAUUACAUUUAAUAAGUGUA